AGGCCUUGACAUCUUGUUGACGGCAUAUGCAAUGUAUGUUCCUUCCGGGGCAGCAGAGACAGGUGGUGCAUGGUUGUCGUCAGCUCGUGUCGUGAGAUGUUGGGUUAAGUCCCGCAACGAGCGCAACCCCUGCCCCCAGUAGCCAGCGCGCAAGGGCGGGCACUCUGGGGGGACUGCCAGGGACAACCUGGAGGAAGGCGGGGAUGACGUCAAAUCAUCAUGCCCCUUAUGGCCUGGGCUACACACGUGCUACAAUGGCGCCCACAAAGGGAGGCGAAAUGGCGACAUGGAGCAAACCCCAGAAAAGGCGUCCCAGUUCGGAUUGCAGCUUGCAACUCGGCUGCAUGAAGCCGGAAUCGCUAGUAAUCGCGGAUCAGAAUGCCGCGGUGAAUACGUUCCCGGGUCUUGUACACACCGCCUGUCACACCAUGGGAGCCGGGAAUGCCCGAAGUCAGUGGCCCAACCGCAAGGGGGGAGCUGCCGAAGGCAGGCCCGGUGACUGGGGUGAAGUCGUAACAAGGUAGCUGU
rnacentral:rRNA from 1 species